GACGAACGCUGGCGGCGUGCUUAACACAUGCGAGUCGUACGGUAAGGCCCUUUCGGGGGUACACGAGUGGCGCACGGGUGAGUAACACGUGAGUAACCUGCCCACAACUUUGGGAUAACGCUAGGAAACUGGUGCUAAUACUGGAUAUGUGCCCCUGCUGCAUGGUGGGGGUUGGAAAGCUCCGGCGGUUGUGGAUGGACUCGCGGCCUAUCAGCUUGUUGGUGGGGUAGUGGCCUACCAAGGCGGCGACGGGUAGCCGGCCUGAGAGGGUGACCGGCCACAUUGGGACUGAGAUACGGCCCAGACUCCUACGGGAGGCAGCAGUGGGGAAUAUUGCACAAUGGGCGCAAGCCUGAUGCAGCAACGCCGCGUGCGGGAUGACGGCCUUCGGGUUGUAAACCGCUUUCAGCAGGGACGAAGCUUUUUGUGACGGUACCUGCAGAAGAAGCACCGGCUAACUACGUG
rnacentral:rRNA from 1 species